CCGCUGAAUGUGCCCUGUGGUAUUUGGCACCAAGACAUUACCAGUAGAUCCUUUAAAUCUUGCAAGUUGCGAGGUGGAGCCUCCGUGGAUCGGAUUUGUUAUUCCAGCACAUCUCACAGAUGCUCAAUCAGAUUGACAUCUGGUAAAUUGGUGGCCAAGGCAACAUCUUAAACUCUGUAUCAUGUUCCUCAAACCCUUCCUGAACAUUUUUUGCAGUAUGGCAGGCUGCAUUCUGCUACUGCCAUUAGGGAAUACCAUUGACAUGAAGGGUUGUACAUGGUCUGCAAAAGUCUUUAGGGGUCACCAUGGGCACUCUGACUGGUCUGUGGCUACACAGACCCAUAUGCAGCAAACUGUGAUGCACUGUGUGUUCUGACACCUUUCUAUCAUGGCCAGCAUUAAAUUCUUUAGCAAUUUGAUCUACAGUAGCUUUUCUGUAGGAUCGGACCAGACAGACUAGCCUUUGCUUCCCAUGUACAUCAUUGAUCCUUGGGCACAGAUGAAACUCAUGCAUACCGGGAACAAGACGUUUUGGAAAUG